AUUGGGACCGCUAAUGCCUAAAGGCGCAAUGAAAGUGAAGGUCGCGCCAAUUUAAAAAGGUCGACCGAGGGAGGAUGGGCCGCGUUUGCGCGCGGCUCCGCACUCCCGGGGCGUCUCGUUCUCAUUGCGAGAAGAGGCGCACCCAGAGCGUACACGUUGGGACCCGAAAGAUGGUGAACUAUGCCUGGUCAGGACGAAGUCAGGGGAAACCCUGAUGGAGGUCCGUAGCGAUUCUGACGUGCAAAUCGAUCGUCGGAACUGGGUAUAGGGGCGAAAGACUAAUCGAACCAUCUAGUAGCUGGUUCCCUCCGAAGUUUCCCUCAGGAUAGCUGGCACUCGUUCGUUUCUAAUUGAACGUUAAAGGAGUCUCAUCUGGUAAAGCGAAUGAUUAGAGGCCUUGGGGCCGAAACGACCUCAACCUAUUCUCAAACUUUAAAUGGGUGAGAUCUCUGGCUUGCUUGAAAUAUGAAGCCACGAGAGAGAUAUUAUAUCGGAUCAGAGUGCCAAGUGGGCCAAUUUU
rnacentral:rRNA from 1 species